AUCAUUUCUUGGCCUUUUGGCUAAGAUCAAGUGUAGUAUCUGUUUUUAUCAGUAAAACUAGCCAAUAACCUAUAUAUUUUCUCUUAUUAAUUAUGAUGUCUUUUUUCCCCCCUUUAACCUAAGUUUAAUUUAAAAGUAAAUGUCCUGAGGGGCAUCUGACUUUGGCUCAGGUCGUGAUCUCACCAUUUGUGAGUUUGAGCCCCGCUUG
rnacentral:snRNA from 1 species